rnacentral:rRNA from 1 species
GACGAACGCUGGCGGCGUGCUUAACACAUGCAAGUCGAACGGUGAACCAGAGCUUGCUCUGGGGAUCAGUGGCGAACGGGUGAGUAACACGUGGGCAACCUGCCCCAGACUCUGGGAUAACCUCGGGAAACCGAUGCUAAUACCGGAUACGACCACUUCGGACAUCCGACGGUGGUGGAAAGUUUUUCGGUCUGGGAUGGGCCCGCGGCCUAUCAGCUAGUUGGUGGGGUAAUGGCCUACCAAGGCGACGACGGGUAGCCGGCCUGAGAGGGCGACCGGCCACACUGGAACUGAGACACGGGUCCAGACUCCUACGGGAGGCAGCAGUGAGGAAUAUUGCACAAUGGGCGAAAGCCUGAUGCAGCGACGCCGCGUGAGGGACGACGGCCUC